GACGAACGCUGGCGGCGUGCUUAACACAUGCAAGUCGAACGGAAAGGCCCUGCUUUUGUGGGGUGCUCGAGUGGCGAACGGGUGAGUAACACGUGAGUAACCUGCCCUUGACUUUGGGAUAACUUCAGGAAACUGGGGCUAAUACCGGAUAGGAGCUCCUGCUGCAUGGUGGGGGUUGGAAAGUUUCGGCGGUUGGGGAUGGACUCGCGGCUUAUCAGCUUGUUGGUGGGGUAGUGGCUUACCAAGGCUUUGACGGGUAGCCGGCCUGAGAGGGUGACCGGCCACAUUGGGACUGAGAUACGGCCCAGACUCCUACGGGAGGCAGGAGUGGGGAAUAUUGGACAAUGGGCGGAAGCAUGAUGCAGCAACGCCGGGUGCGGGAUGACGGCCUUCGGGUUGUAAACCGCUUUCGCCUGUGACGAAGCGUGAGUGACGGUAAUGGGUAAAGAAGCACCGGCUAACUACGU
rnacentral:rRNA from 1 species